rnacentral:rRNA from 1 species
UACGAAGGGGGGCUAGCGUUGCUCGGAAUUACUGGGCGUAAAGGGCCAGUAGGCGGCCAACUAAGUCGGAUGUGAAAUCCCCAGGCUCAACUUGGGAACUGCAUCCGAUACUGGAUGGCUUGAAUUCGGGAGAGGGAUGCAGAAUUCCAGGUGUAGCGGUGAAAUGCGUAGAUAUCUGGAGGAAUACCGGUGGCGAAGGCGGCAUCCUGGACCGACAUUGACGCUGAACGGCGAAAGCUAGGGGAGCGAAACGGG